rnacentral:rRNA from 1 species
AUUGAACGCUGGCGUAUGCCUUACACAUGCAAGUCGAACGGCAGCACGGACUUCGGUCUGGUGGCGAGUGGCGAACGGGUGAGUAAUAUAUCGGAACAUACCCAGUAGUGGGGGAUAACUAUCCGAAAGGAUAGCUAAUACCGCAUACGAUCUGUGGAUGAAAGCAGGGGAUCUUCGGACCUUGUGCUAUUGGAAUGGCCGAUAUCUGAUUAGCUAGUUGGUAGGGUAAAAGCCUACCAAGGCGACGAUCAGUAGCUGGUCUGAGGGGACGACCAGCCACACUGGAACUGAGACACGGUCCAGACUCCUACGGGAGGCAGCAGUGGGGAAUUUUGGACAAUGGGGGCAACCCUGAUCCAGCAAUGCCGCGUGAGUGAAGAAGGCCCUCGGGUUGUAAAGCUCUUUUGUCAGGGAAGAAACGGAGUUCUCUAAUAUAGGAUUCUAAUGACGGUACCUGAAGAAUAAGCACCGGCUAACUACGUGCCAGCAGCCGCGGUAAUACGUAGGGUGCAAGCGUUAAUCGGAAUUACUGGGCGUAAAGCGUGCGCAGGCGGUUUUGUAAGUCUGAUGUGAAAUCCCCGGGCUCAACCUGGGAACUGCAUUGGAGACUGCAAGGCUAGAGUGUGUCAGAGGGGGGUAGAAUUCCACGUGCAGCAGUGAAAUGCGUAGAGAUGUGGAGGAAUACCGAUGGCGAAGGGCAGCCCCCUGGGAUAACACUGACGCUCAUGCAC